UCUGUACAGGGAAUGUGCUCCUCCUCGAAGCAUAGACAAGAAGCAGCCCUUAGAUCUCAUCAGGAAAUUCUACGGAGAGAAGGUCGGAAUCUACUUUGCUUGGGCUGGGCUAUUACAUUCAGAUGCUCCUCCUGGCAGCAGUCGUGGGGGUGACUUGCUUUCUUGUGACCCAGGUGGCUGUCUCCUUGAACUGAUGAUGCAGCUGACAAUAAUCAUGGGAGGACAGUCCAUCUGGAAUAACAUACAGAGGUGUUACUUCCGUGUUUCUCAUGUGCAAAUUGGUAUCCCUGCAUGAGAACCAUAAACCAACAGAAAACCCAAAAGACCGAGGACAAUGAUGGGUUGCUGACAGCCCAAGCUUUUCUGCCACAGAAGAGUGGUUCCAGUCAGGAAGACUGAGCAAGAGGCUCAGAGUCUUAGCUAAGGACAAGCAAGUCGGGACUUCUAAUACGACCUAAUGUCAUCGACGGGGGAGGGCAGUUCAGCACAAGAAGGGAGCACCAGAUGGGUCAUGAAUCUAAUGAUGCCACAGUUUCGGGAGCAGAACAGACCACCCCACGAUGGGAAUGGGACAACCAUCUGUAUCCAACGGGCAAACUGGGGUUAUUUUAUGAAUACCCUGAAAUGAGUAAGUCAUCAGUGGGGAUUUCUGUGCUGUCGGUUAUACUAGAAUAUGCUUUGGGUCUCAGAAGCAUCGGUUACCGAGCCAAACAAAGACCUAGCAUACCGAAA